rnacentral:lncRNA from 13 species
AAGUGUUAUGCAACAGGGCACUGUGAGAAUGGUUUUGUGUUUCAUCCCAUAAGGCCGCCUUAGAGAAAACCUGCCAGGCCUUUAGGUCCAACCAGACGGAGUAUGAGCGGUUUAUGGAUCACACGACUCUCUGGCUCCAGGAGCACCAGGAACAGGCAGUGGAGCUGUUCAGCCUGUGUGAUACAGACAGCCCUGGUACCAUCCCUCUUCUGGGUAUGACAGAUUUGGGGAUUCCAUGCCUGCAAUUUCAGGUGGAUCUGCUGCCUCAGCUACUGAGGAGAGGCAACGAUGGGGAGAUUGAUUACAGGGACAUGAGCAACCAACUAACUACAGAGAGUAAGGUAAAGCAAAAUCAGCAUUCUAUUCUAUUCAAAUCAAAUCAAAUUGUAUUUGUCACAUGCGCCGAAUACAACAGGUGUAGACUUUACAGUGAAAUGCGUACUUACAAGCCCUAACCAACAAUGCAGUUAAAUAAAAGUAACAAAUAACUAAAGAGCAGCAGUAAAAUAACAAUAGCGAGGCUAUAUUCAGGGGUGCCGGUACAGAGUCAAUGUGUGGGGGUACCGGUUAGUCAGGGUAAUUGAGGUAAUAUGUACAUGUAGGUAGAGUUAUUAAAGUGUUGAAACAUAGAUACGCAAUAACAGAGAGUAGCAGCAGGGUGAAAGGGGGGAGGGCAAUGCAAAUAGUCUGGGUAGCCAUUUGAUUAGAUGUUCAGGAGUCUUAUGGCUUGGAGGUAGAAGCUGUUUAGAAGCCUUUUGGACCUAGACUUGGCAGUCCAGUACAGCUUGCCAUGCGGUAGCAGAGAGAACAGUCUAUGACUAGGGUGGCUGGAGUCUUUGACCAUUUUUAGGGCCUUCCUCUGACACCGCCUGGUAUAGAGGUCCUUGAUGGCAGGAAGCUUGGCCCCAGUGACGUACUGGGCCGUACACACUACCCUCUGUAGUGCCUUGCGGUCAGAGUCCGAGCAGUUGCCAUAUCAGGCAGUGAUGCAACCUGUCCGGAUGCUCUCGAUGGUGCAUCUGUAAAACCUUUUGGGGAUCUGAGGACCCAUGCCAAAUCUUUUCAGUCUCCUAAGGGGGAAUAGCUUUUGUCGUGCUCUCUUCACGACUGUCUUGGUGUGCUUGGACAAUGUUAGUUUGUUGUUAAUGUGGACACCAAGGAACUUGAAGCUCUCAACCUGCUCCACUACAGCCCCGUUGAGGAGAAUGGGGGCAUGUCCGGCCCUCCUUUUCCUGUAGUCCACAAUCAUCUCCUUUGUUUUGAUCACGUUGAGGGAGAGGUUGUUGUCCUGGCACCACACGGCCAGGUCUCUGACCUCCUCCCUAUAGGCUGUCUCGUCGUUGUCGGUGAUCAGGCCUACCACUGUUGUGUCAUCUGCAAACGUAAUGAUGGUGUUGGAGUUGUGCCUGGCCAUGCAGUCAUGAGUGAACAGGGAGUACAGGAGGGGACUGAGCACGCACACCUGAGGGGUCCCCAUAUUGAGGAUCAGAGUGGCGGAUGUGUUGUUAUCUACCCUUACCACCUUGGGGCGGCCCGUCAGGAAGUCUAGGAUCCAGUUGCAGAGGGAGGUGUUUAGUCCCAGGGUCCUUAGCUUAGUGAUGAGCUUUGAGGGUACUAUGGUGUUGAACUCUGAGCUGUAGUCAAUGAACAGCAUUCUCACAUAGGUGUUCCUUUUGUCCAGGUGGGAAAUGUGGAAAUGUGGAGUGCAAUAGAGAUUCCAUCAUCUGUGGAUCUGUUGGGGAGGUAUGCAAAUUGGAGUGGGUCUAAAGUUUCUGGGAUAAUGGUGUUGAUGUGAGCCAUGACCAGCUUUUCAAAGCACUUCAUGGCUACAGACGUGAGUGCUACGGGUCGGUAGUCAUUUAGGCAGGUUACCUUAGUGUUCUUUGGCACAGGGACUAUGGUGGUCUGCUUAAAACAUGUUGGUGUUACAGACUCAGACAGGGAGAGGUUGAAAAUGUCAGUGAAGCCAGUUGGUCAGCGCAUGCUCGAAGUAAACGUCCUGAUAAUAUGUCUGGCCCUGCGGCCUUGGGAAUGUUGACCUGCUUAAUAAUUAAAGCUAGGGGGCAGAAUUUUCACUUUUGGAUAAAUAGUGUGCCCAAUUUCAACUUCCUGCUACUCAUGCCAAGAAUAUAAGAUAUGCAUAUUAUUCAUAGAUUUGGAUAGAAAACACUCUGAAGUUUCUAAAACUGUUUGAAUCAUGUCUGUGAGUAUAACAGAACUUAUGUAGCAGGCAAAACCCAGAGGACUAACUGUUCAGAAUUAUUUAUAUUUUUUUCCCAUCUCUCUUCCCUAUAUUGUCUUUGCCAUUGGAAAUUUAAUUGAAAUAUACUUCCAGUUCCUACAUCUUCCACACGAUGUUGCCAGUGUUUGGAAUAUGGCUGAGGUUUUUUCUUUUAUUUCAACUGUUCCGAGUUGGCAGGAAGUAGGCCAAUUCGGAACAGGGGACCCUUUUGUGAGUUGCACAAGACGUGAUGAGUUGGUUUCUUUUCAUUCAUGUAUUGAAUACAGAUUGCCCCGUCUACAAUUUGAUCGAUUAUUAACAUUUAAAAAUACCUAAAGUUGUAUUUUGGCAAAGUUUCCACUCGUUAUUAAUGGCACCUGUUUGAACUUGUUAUCAGUAUAAAAGACACCUGUCCACAACCUCAAACA